CUGUAAUGUGAUUUACUCAGCUGUUUCCCAUGCUUACCACGACUUUAUUUACAUAUUCCUCAUAUUGUGCAGGUUGUCUGGAUGGGGAAAUGUGUACAGUUGGGAGUGGAUAUGACUUUUGAAACACAGACCCAGGGUCGUGUGAAAAAUGCAUGUUGCUGUUUUGAUUGCAAUCAGUUGUGAAAAUGCAAGAGGAUGAAAAGGUUUUUGCUGGCUUGCUAAUGGGUGUAUGUGUAUUCUUUUUCAUGCUAUUUCAAUGAAAACACCUGGAAAUGAACUGAGGGUUUGAGGAUUCAGGGAAGGAAAAUGAGAUGCCAGUGCUGAAGGCAGCUAAGUUGAGUAGCAGAAAGCAAUAUGCUACAGCUUGUGAGGCACUGCUGGGAGAGAGGGGAACAGAGGAGCACAGAGGUCAGUGCUAUUAACUCUGUGUAGUGGUAUGUGUGAGUGAGAGCAGGGCUUUUUCAAACAGGGCUAUUAAUUUCUCACCAUAUUUUGCUGAUUUUUUCCAUCUUCAGUUUUAUAAAGAAGAUACACUUUUGGUGAGGGCUUGCAAGCUGCCCUUAGAGGGGCUGAGUAGAAUCAGGUCUAGCACUGAUCUCUCUGAAUUCAAGCGGUUGGUCGCAGUGACAGGCUCACGGGAAGAGGAUCAGCCUCUUGGGGGGUCCAAAUCUUCCUGGCUUCUUCACUUCACUGCUGAGCUCGCCUGUGAAAUGCAUGAGCUGUAAGCACACGAAACAUGAAGGCAUAAAAUUAAUUCAAACUCCUAAGAUGCCCAGCUCUAAAAUCGGCCAGCAGCAAAGUGUGGAGCAAUGGUAAUUAACUUCCAUGGUGGCAGCUCUGGGAGAGGUACACAUUGGGCACGAUGGGAGACUUGGUGUGAUGCACUGCAAGCACUGCUGAGGGGGUCAUGGGCUGGUGGCAAAACCCCCCCGGGACCAGGGAGCACAGCAGGGUGCUGGAAAAGAGCAGCUCUGAGGGGAGGAGAUAAAGAAAAGGGCCCUUUGGUGCCUUCUGUGUUCCUCCUGCCCCUCCAAACGUGGCAGCUGCUGAAAGAGGCCGUGAAGUGUGUUUCUCCUGAGUGCUUGCUGUAAACAGUGCGUACAGCAGUGCUGAUUAUACAUCAGCUCGCUGGGCUAACUAUAGCAUAGUAAUUAAAGGGGUGAGAACAUUUUGGAGUACUUUCCGCCACUUGUUGUCUGUGUAAUCCCCCUGUGUUUGGCAAUAAAUAGAACUUUUAAGUUUAAUUAAUAUACACUUGGCUGGCUAUCCAUUUAAAAGCAUGCUUCGGUGGCCUGAGACAUUAUCCACUUAUGCAGAGUGUUGCUGGAAGAGCUGGUGAAACACUGAAGAGGGAGUGCAGGGCCAGGGCAAGGGGUGCUGCCGAGCCCUGGAGCAGGGAGGCACAGCUUCGUGUCCCAGGGAAUGUAGGUCAGUGGGCAAUUCAGAGCAUGCUCUGACACAAGCAUACAGGCACUGCAAGAGAAGGCAGAGUAAAUAAACAGCUUUUCUCCUGAAUGUGGGGCAGCUUGGGCUGUUUCUAAAAUUUAUUUCUGAACGCUGGGUUUUGUAAGUGAGUUCCUCUCAGGCUGAGGUGUCAGAGGGUCAAACGAGUUUUGAGAAUAAAAUGCAGUCUAGUAUCUCUUUCUUUCUCUCAAACUUCUUUCAUGUAGGGCUAUUCAAACCAUUGCUUUUUUUUUUUUUUCUUUUUUGAGUUUAGCAGAAACAACGGCAACAAAAAAAUUGGUUUGGAUUAGAUCAAAUAUACAUUCCUUCCCUCCUCCUCCCCUCCUGGGAUGAAACAAACAAACAAAUCAUGCCGUUUAGCACCAUUGUGUCAUUUGCCCCGGAACAAGCCAUUUCAUUUCAUGUGCUUUUCGAAAAGCAAAGGCGAGGAACAGCUAGAGUUUCAUAAAACUGCCAGAGGACUUGGACUCCAGUCCCAGCUCCAGUGAGUGCCGAGUUAUUUAUCUGCAAGAGCAGGGUGUCAGCGGGAGCUAUUUCAGGCCCCCCCUUUGCUCCAGAAUGCACCCCAGGCUGAUGUUUGUAGGAAUUUUCUGUGGGUGGCAAUGACUCUGUGCAGGUGAAGGAGUGAGUUGUGCUGCAGUGGAUGCACAAAGUGAGCCACGGAACAGAAGUGAGGGUCAGGGUGGAUGAGGAAAAGACUUGGAGAGAAAAAAGAGUUCAGGAAUGAAAUAGAUUUAUAACGUUGCAGCUUCUGCUUUUUUCUUUCAGUCUCUGAUACUAUUUUCCUACUGCUCUUCCUGCCUCUCCUGGCUCUUUACCCCAUGCCUGCUCACCUCCUGUUCUCAUGUAUUUUUUUACCUUCUCAGUCUUUCUCUCUGGAUCAGGUGUUUUGAUCUGGGAAGUCAAGUUAGUAUGCCAUCAUGUAAAUGAGUAACUUAUGCUUCCUAGUGAUGAGCUAGCAUAUGUAGGGUUGUAUGUCUUGAAGACUCAGUUGUAGGUAACCAGCUUUAAUUUUCACAGCUUUUUGUUUGUUUUGUUAAUUUUUAUUUUUAUGUUUUUAUGUUGAUUUUUUUAUUUUUUAUUUUUUUAUUUUAAAGUGCUCUGCAAGAACAGAUUCACUGGCCUAUUCUGCAGGGUGGAGUGUGUGAGAAUUGUCCUUUCUCCUGACUUCAGGGUGCAAUGAAACAAACACUCGUUGAGUACAAAUAAUUUGUCCUAUUUUCUCCAUCAGUUCCAGGAAGAGAGGAAGUGUUUCCCCAAGGAAAACCUUUCUCUGCAUUAUCAGUAGAAGAGCCUGAGGUGGCUGGCUCAGGUGCAAGUGUGGGCUGUGGGUGUCCACCUGUGCCCGCAGGAGCAGCGUGCUCUCUCUGAUUGGCCUGGCCAGUGGCAGUUGAAUUAGCAACAGAGGGUCCAAAAAUAAGCAGAUUUAAUAAAAAAAGCUUCAUGGCGUGGUGGUUGGGCCCGUGCUGUGCAACUAAUUAACUUGCUAACCCUGUGGAAGCACUUCCAAAAAUGAACUCCUGUUCUCUGCUCCCGUGCUUCCUGCAUUCAGCUUCCUGCGCUGCUUCGGCUUCUGUCCCCUUCCCCAGGCGGUCAGCAUAGCAAUGUCACUUAUACCUGCUGUGUGUACAGGAGGGACAUGUCACAUCUUGUGCCUUUCCUGGCCUGCCACUGUGACCUUCUGCAAUAGCUGAGAACAUCAGUUCCCCCUCCCUGAAGUGGGGCACCUGAAAGAAGACUUCUCCUUUCUUUGGGCUUCCCUGUUACGUGCAGAAGUAAUCCACCACUAAUUGUAUAUAAGGACAAGGAGAAAUAUUGUGAUUUUCCUACUGUGGCUUGAAAUGCCUGGCUCUGGCUAUUUGUACCUGCUUUGUAAUAGCCCCACUUGAGAGGUGAAAAAGGAGGCUCUAAAGCCCAAUUCCAAGAUUACGACCUGCACAUUAUUUUAAUUUAAACUCGCCUCCUGUUACAACAGAGAAUCAAGGUGUUGUUUGUGACAAAGCAUCAGCAACGUCCUGCGCCGAACAUGAUUCACGUAAGGAGCAGACAGUGGAUACUGAGUUUGAAAGGGGGCUAAUCAACAAUCUUUGGAAUAAAGAAGUAUCUUAACUCAAAAAUGUUGAUGCAUGAACGAAUGUUAUUCUCUGUGUGCUGAGUUACUGUUUAGGGGACACAUCUACACAAGCAACCACACUGAAUCUGUUCAGCGCCAUUCACAAGCAAAUUAAAUUUCAAAAUCUGACUGUAUGUGCAUGUGUGUGUCUAAAUAUCUCUAGAG